rnacentral:rRNA from 1 species
GGGUUGUGAGGUUAAGCGACUAAGCGUACACGGUGGAUGCCCUGGCAGUCAGAGGCGAUGAAGGACGUGCUAAUCUGCGAAAAGCGUCGGUAAGGUGAUAUGAACCGUUAUAACCGGCGAUGUCCGAAUGGGGAAACCCAGUGCAAUUCGUUGCACUAUCGUUAACUGAAUACAUAGGUUAACGAGGCGAACCGGGGGAACUGAAACAUCUAAGUACCCCGAGGAAAAGAAAUCAACCGAGAUUCCCCCAGUAGCGGCGAGCGAACGGGGAGCAGCCCAGAGUCUGAAUCAGCUUGUGUGUUAGUGGAACGGUCUGGAAAGUCCGACGGUACAGGGUGAUAGUCCCGUACACCAAAAUGCACAGGUUGUGAACUCGAAGAGUAGGGCGGGACACGUGGUAUCCUGUCUGAAUAUGGGGGGACCAUCCUCCAAGGCUAAAUACUCCUGACUGACCGAUAGUGAACCAGUACCGUGAGGGAAAGGCGAAAAGAACCCCGGCGAGGGGAGUGAAAAAGAACCUGAAACCGUGUACGUACAAGCAGUGGGAGCACCUUCGGGUGUGACUGCGUACCUUUGUAUAAUGGGUCAGCGACUUAUAUUCUGUAGCAAGGUUAACCGUAUAGGGGAGCCGCAGGGAAACCGAGUCUUAACUGGGCGUUAAGUUGCAGGGUAUAGACCCGAAACCCGGUGAUCUAGCCAUGGGCAGGUUGAAGGUUGGGUAACACUAACUGGAGGACCGAACCGACUAAUGUUGAAAAAUUAGCGGAUGACUUGUGGCUGGGGGUGAAAGGCCAAUCAAACCGGGAGAUAGCUGGUUCUCCCGAAAGCUAUUUAGGUAGCGCCUCGUGAAUUCAUCUUCGGGGGUAGAGCACUGUUUCGGCUAGGGGGUCAUCCCGACUUACCAACCCGAUGCAAACUACGAAUACCGAAGAAUGUUAUCACGGGAGACACACGGCGGGUGCUAACGUCCGUCGUGAAGAGGGAAACAACCCAGACCGCCAGCUAAGGUCCCAAAGUCAUGGUUAAGUGGGAAACGAUGUGGGAAGGCACAGACAGCCAGGAUGUUGGCUUAGAAGCAGCCAUCAUUUAAAGAAAGCGUAAUAGCUCACUGGUCGAGUCGGCCUGCGCGGAAGAUGUAACGGGGCUAAACCAUGCACCGAAGCUGCGGCAGCGACACUAUGUGUUGUUGGGUAGGGGAGCGUUCUGUAAGCCUGCGAAGGUGACCUGUGAGGGUUGCUGGAGGUAUCAGAAGUGCGAAUGCUGACAUAAGUAACGAUAAAGCGGGUGAAAAGCCCGCUCGCCGGAAGACCAAGGGUUCCUGUCCAACGUUAAUCGGGGCAGGGUGAGUCGACCCCUAAGGCGAGGCCGAAAGGCGUAGUCGAUGGGAAACAGGUUAAUAUUCCUGUACUUGGUGUUACUGCGAAGGGGGGACGGAGAAGGCUAUGUUAGCCGGGCGACGGUUGUCCCGGUUUAAGCAUGUAGGCUGGUUGUCCAGGCAAAUCCGGAUAAUCAAGGCUGAGGUGUGAUGACGAGGCACUACGGUGCUGAAGUAACAAAUGCCCUGCUUCCAGGAAAAGCCUCUAAGCAUCAGGUAACAUCAAAUCGUACCCCAAACCGACACAGGUGGUCAGGUAGAGAAUACCAAGGCGCUUGAGAGAACUCGGGUGAAGGAACUAGGCAAAAUGGUGCCGUAACUUCGGGAGAAGGCACGCUGGUGUGUAGGUGAAGUCCCUGCGGAUGGAGCUGAGACCAGUCGAAGAUACCAGCUGGCUGCAACUGUUUAUUAAAAACACAGCACUGUGCAAACACGAAAGUGGACGUAUACGGUGUGACGCCUGCCCGGUGCCGGAAGGUUAAUUGAUGGGGUUAUCCGUAAGGAGAAGCUCUUGAUCGAAGCCCCGGUAAACGGCGGCCGUAACUAUAACGGUCCUAAGGUAGCGAAAUUCCUUGUCGGGUAAGUUCCGACCUGCACGAAUGGCGUAAUGAUGGCGGGCUGUCUCCACCCGAGACUCAGUGAAAUUGAACUCGCUGUGAAGAUGCAGUGUACCCGCGGCAAGACGGAAAGACCCCGUGAACCUUUACUAUAGCUUGACACUGAACAUUGAGCCUUGAUGUGUAGGAUAGGUGGGAGGCUUUGAAGCGUGGACGCCAGUCUGCGUGGAGCCAACCUUGAAAUACCACCCUUUAAUGUUUGAUGUUCUAACGUUGGCCCCUUACCGGGGUUGCGGACAGUGUCUGGUGGGUAGUUUGACUGGGGCGGUCUCCUCCCAAAGCGUAACGGAGGAGCACGAAGGUUAGCUAAUCUGGUCGGACAUCAGGAGGUUAGUGCAAUGGCAUAAGCUAGCUUGACUGCGAGCGUGACGGCGCGAGCAGGUGCGAAAGCAGGUCAUAGUGAUCCGGUGGUUCUGAAUGGAAGGGCCAUCGCUCAACGGAUAAAAGGUACUCCGGGGAUAACAGGCUGAUACCGCCCAAGAGUUCAUAUCGACGGCGGUGUUUGGCACCUCGAUGUCGGCUCAUCACAUCCUCGGGGCUGAAGUAGGUCCCAAGGGUAUGGCUGUUCGCCAUUUAAAGUGGUACGCGAGCUGGGUUUAGAACGUCGUGAGACAGUUCGGUCCCUAUCUGCCGUGGGCGCUGGAGAAUUGAGGGGGGCUGCUCCUAGUACGAGAGGACCGGAGUGGACGCAUCACUGGUGUUCGGGUUGUCAUGCCAAUGGCACUGCCCGGUAGCUAAAUGCGGAAGAGAUAAGUGCUGAAAGCAUCUAAGCACGAAACUUGCCCCGAGAUGAGUUCUCCCUGAGACUUUAAGUCUCCUGAAGGAACGUUAAAGACGAUGACGUUGAUAGGCCGGGUGUGUAAGCGCAGCGAUGCGUUGAGCUAACCGGUACUAAUGAACCGUGAGGCUUAACCUUACAACGCCGAAG